rnacentral:tRNA from 1 species
GCCUGGGUGGCUCAGUUGGUUGAGCGUCUGACUUUGGCUCAGGUCAUGAUCUCAUGGUUCGUGGGUUUGAGCCCCGCGUUGGGCU